rnacentral:rRNA from 1 species
UUCCGGUUGAUCCUGCCGGACCUGACUGCUAUCGGAUUGAUACUAAGCCAUGCGAGUCAUUGUAGCAAUACAAGGCAUACGGCUCAGUAACGCGUAGUCAACCUAACCUGUGGACGGGAAUAACCUCGGGAAACUGAGAAUAAUGCCCGAUAGAACACUAUACCUGGAAUGGUUUGUGUUCCAAAUGAUUUAUCGCCAUAGGAUGGGACUGCGGCCUAUCAGUUUGUUGGUGAGGUAAUGGCCCACCAAGACUAUUACAGGUACGGGCUCUGAGAGGAGUAGCCCGGAGAUGGGUACUGAGACACGGACCCAGGCCCUAUGGGGCGCAGCAGGCGAGAAAACUUUGCAAUGUGCGAAAGCACGACAAGGUUAAUCCGAGUGAUUUGUGCUAAACGAAUCUUUUGUUAGUCCUAGAGACACUAACGAAUAAGGGGUGGGCAAGUUCUGGUGUCAGCCGCCGCGGUAAAACCAGCACCUCAAGUGGUCAGGAUGAUUAUUGGGCCUAAAGCAUCCGUAGCCGGCUCUGUAAGUUUUCGGUUAAAUCUGUACGCUUAACGUACAGGCUGCCGGGAAUACUGCAGAGCUAGGGAGUGGGAGAGGUAGACGGUACUCGGUAGGAAGUGGUAAAAUGCUUUGAUCUAUCGAUGACCACCUGUGGCGAAGGCGGUCUACCAGAACACGUCCGACGGUGAGGGAUGAAAGCUGGGGGAGCAAACCGGAUUAGAUACCCGGGUAGUCCCAGCUGUAAACUAUGCAAACUCAGUGAUGCAUUGGCUUGUGGCCAAUGCAGUGCUGCAGGGAAGCCGUUAAGUUUGCCGCCUGGGAAGUACGUACGCAAGUAUGAAACUUAAAGGAAUUGGCGGGGGAGCACCACAAGGGGUGAAGCCUGCGGUUCAAUUGGAUUCAACGCCGGG